rnacentral:misc_RNA from 1 species
AAGUCGUAACAAGGUUUCCGUAGGUGAACCUGCGGAAGGAUCAUUAACACUUUUAUUAGUUCCAAACUAUAUCAACCAACCCGUGAACCUGUUUCGAGCCGGUCAGCGCUGGUGGGGGUGCCUUACAUGGUCUGUGAUAGGAUUCGUCCUGUCUCGUAAGGUAGCCCGGAGCGGGAGCUCGCCUUCUCUGACUUGGUGUUUUUUCCCUUCAAUUUGCCAUGUCAUUGGCCUUACCCCGGGUCAUGGCAUGGUGGGAUCAUUCUAUUUUAUUAACCCUAUUAACCCUUUAUAUCUUUGCCAAUGUGCUGAAUUUCAUUCCUCUGUAGCGAUCGUCGAAAGGCGACUCUGCUCUCUGGAAUGGUUGUAUACGAAAUGUAGUACAACUCUUAGCAAUGGAUAUCUUGGUUCUC